UACGUAGGGUGCAAGCGUUGUCCGGAAUUAUUGGGCGUAAAGAGCUCGUAGGCGGUCUGUCGCGUCUGCUGUGAAAACUCGGGGCUUAACCCCGGGCCUGCAGUGGGUACGGGCAGACUAGAGUGCGGUAGGGGAGACUGGAAUUCCUGGUGUAGCGGUGAAAUGCGCAGAUAUCAGGAGGAACACCGGUGGCGAAGGCGGGUCCCUGGGCCGUAACUGACGCUGAGGAGCGAAAGCGUGGGGAGCGAACAGG
rnacentral:rRNA from 1 species